UCCCUCGAGCCGGAUUUGAACCAGCGACCUAAGGAUCACCGUUGUAACAACAACUCUGCUCUGCCAACUGAGCUAUCGAGGG